rnacentral:rRNA from 1 species
CCCUUAGAUGUUCUGGGCAGCACGCGCGCUACAAGGGUCUUCGCAAACGGAUGCAUUCUCGAAGGAGAAUGCCAAUCUUGGAAUCUAUGCCUUGGUCGGGACAGUUGCUUGCAAUUUUUCGACUCGAACCAGGAAUUCCUUGUAAUCGUGAUUCAUCACAUCACGAUGAAUACGUCCCUGCCCUUUGUACACACCGCCCGUCGCUCCUACCGAUCGAAGAGUUAGGUGAAUUGUUUUGAUCGAUAAGAUUUGACUAUGGUCAACUCUCGUUGUGAAAUUCUGUGAAUCUGACUGUUUAGAGGAAGGAAAAGUCGUAACA